AUUGAACGCUGGCGGCAGGCUUAAUACAUGCAAGUCGAGCGGGGGAAGGUAGCUUGCUACCGGACCUAGCGGCGGACGGGUGAGUAAUGCUUAGGAAGCUGCCUAUUAGUGGGGGACAACAUCUCGAAAGGGAUGCUAAUACCGCAUACGUCCUACGGGAGAAAGCAGGGGAUCUCCGGACCUUGCGCUACUAGAUGAGCCUAAGUCGGAUUAGCUAGUUGGUGGGGUAAAGGCCUACCAAGGCGACGAUCUGUAGCGGGUCUGAGAGGAUGAUCCGCCACACUGGGACUGAGACACGGCCCAGACUCCUACGGGAGGCAGCAGUGGGGAAUAUUGGACAAUGGGGGGAACCCUGAUCCAGCCAUGCCGCGUGUGUGAAGAAGGCCUUAUGGUUGUAAAGCACUUUAAGCGGGGAGGAGGCUACUUUAGUUAAUACCUAGAGAUAGUGGACGUUACUCGCAGAAUAAGCACCGGCUAACUCUGUGCCAGCAGCCGCCGUAA
rnacentral:rRNA from 1 species